CAGUGCUAUCAACGCAGAGAAAAAUGUAAUGUUAUAAAGUAGAAAUGGACUCUAUUAGUAUUAUAGAUAUGAUAUUAAAUAUCUUCCUGUUAUUUGUAGUACUAAUAAAAAUUAUUAUAGAUACAACAUA